AGCUUGCUUCUAUGACGUUAGCGGCGGACGGGUGAGUAACACGUGGGCAACCUGCCUGUAAGACUGGGAUAACUUCGGGAAACCGAAGCUAAUACCGGAUAGGAUCUUCUCCUUCAUGGGAGAUGAUUGAAAGAUGGUUUCGGCUAUCACUUACAGAUGGGCCCGCGGUGCAUUAGCUAGUUGGUGAGGUAACGGCUCACCAAGGCAACGAUGCAUAGCCGACCUGAGAGGGUGAUCGGCCACACUGGGACUGAGACACGGCCCAGACUCCUACGGGAGGCAGCAGUGGUCAUAGC
rnacentral:rRNA from 1 species